AUGAAUUUCCUAAGCAUGAGGUCUCCUGACAGAGCAAAGCAGACCUACCCUUCCUGUGUCGUGGACAUCCCUGUUGUCUAUGCACUUGAUCAGCAAGUGGAUGUUAAAUAUAAGGGCCCCGGAGCACCCAACGGCGUCGGUCUGCUGCCUCCCACGGCUGCAGCUAUCUGCUCUGCGCACGACAAAUGGCCGGGGCCGUGGCACCUUCAACUUUUGCAGCUGGUUCCUCUUGAACGUCGUCUUGCAGAAAGCAAAAUGUCAAGGAUAAAAGAAAUAAUUGACCAUAGAAAUAGCAGCAAUCGGAGCCAACCCCUUUAUUCUUGCAGGGGAAAAAUCCUCUAUAAAGUGCCUACAGAUUUUUCAAGAGAGCCUGGGGACUGAAUAAGAAAAACAAGAAGCUGAAUGUCUGCUGCACAUCACGGAUGUUAAGUGUGGAGCAUCCGGUGUUCAUAGCUGUCCCAUCAUGAAGUGAAAGUGCUGGGGAAGAAGGAAGGCUGCCCUCCUCACCCUCCCCGUGCUGGGGUCACCUUGAUUUGCACUGCAACCAUACCUGGCUGGGCUUAUGGAAGUGGAUGGUUUAGAAAUCCACAUGAAAAAAAAAAAAAAGCUAAACAAACAAACCCACAAAAACAACAACAACAAACACACACACACACACAAAACCAUUAGCUUCACAGAUACAGGAAUAUCAGGGCUUUAGGCAGAGUUGGGACCACCCUGUACACAGAUGAGAUGAAACUGCGUUAGCUCAGCCUGACUAUCAGUUUGUAUACUGUCAUCCAGGCUGGAUAUUUCUAAAGUUUUCAGAGAAAACAGCAUCUUUUCUGGCUACUUGGUGUCCCUCUCAUUCUUAAUAUUUGAACUACACAUUUCUUCAUAUUUGUUAUAAACAGCCCACUUGUUGUUCCUUGUUCCAUAUUCAUGAAGGUGCUUUUUAAUAAUUACUUUUUGUAUUUUUAUUUUUUUAAUGGAAUUAAUGAGUCAGAAAUAGAAAUAAUGAGUCUUGCCUUCUAGUAUAAACAUAUAGAAAUGUGCCUUUCACAGCUGAAAAUUCCUAUUAUCUCACCUGCUAACAAAGGUAUAGUUUCUUCUGAGAUUCUUUGUGCUUGUGAGGACUAUCUAGGCUCUUUGAUAGCAAAGUAAAAUACAAGGUUGUAGCAAAUUAAUAAAUGAGAAGCUUUUUGAAAGAAAACCUAACUC
rnacentral:lncRNA from 1 species